rnacentral:rRNA from 1 species
ACCAUUCGUCACGUACCCUGAACAAGCCCUGUCCCGUCUGAUCUUGGAAGCUGAGCAGGGUCGGGCCUGGUUAGUACUUUCUAGAUGGGAGACCACUUAGGAAGACCAGUGCUGUAGGUA